CAUAUGAUCGUUGGGUAGGGGCCCUCUUCCUACCCAACAGAAACCCCAUUUGCCUUCUCCUUUCUUCAAGCUCGAACCUCUGUUUUAGGGUUCCCUGCAAGCACUCCAAUUUACGACUGAAAUCGAGCACAAAAACCUGGUAAUUCAGGUCGGAAACUGGCAAUUAGUGACAAGGAAGAUGCCAUUUGAUCGAUUAUUGACCUCCAGGCAGUGAUUUGCAGAGUGUUCGUGUGUGAGGACAACGGGGACAGACGACGUGCGACCAACAGUACAAAGCUUGACUUUGUCAUAAGAGAUUUUCGGAGUUAGUGAGGUCUGUCACCAUAGGAUAGAGAUUCCCGACUUAGGUCUUUAUCGAGGGCCCCCUCCAUUGCUCUAUUCACCUGUACAGGAGUCUUUAAGAACUGGUCCACCUUUGCUUGAGAGAGCCAUCUACAGUCGAGUUUUGGUCCGACAAGUUUAUCGAUCAUGGCUCCUAAGGGUGAGAAUGUCAUUGAGUGGAUUGAUCGGAUGGAGUUGGCUUUCAUUCAUAUCAUGGUUGACAAGUUGAAAAGGAGCCACACCACAUGUUAUAAGCAAAACGAUUGGGAAGAGAUGGCGGUGAAUAUGGGAAAGCAAUUUCCUAAUGAGCAACUAUGCUUCCAGAAGGUAAAGGACAAUUGUACUAGGCUUAAGACUAACUACAAGUAAUUAACUGAGAUCUUUGUAUUUGAAAUUAGUAGCAAUACUUGUUCUAUUUGGCAAUUGAAUUUGCCAAUUUUUUUAAAUCAAAUUAAUUAAUGUAGACAUCUAUUUCUGUA